rnacentral:rRNA from 1 species
UCCAGACUCCUACGGGAGGCAGCAGUGAGGAAUAUUGGUCAAUGGGCGCGAGCCUGAACCAGCCAAGUCGCGUGAGGGAAGACGGUCCUAUGGAUUGUAAACCUCUUUUGUCGGGGAGCAAAAGACGCCACGCGUGGCGUUCCGAGAGUACCCGAAGAAAAAGCAUCGGCUAACUCCGUGCCAGCAGCCGCGGUAAUACGGAGGGUGCGAGCGUUAUCCGGAUUUAUUGGGUUUAAAGGGUGCGUAGGCGGUCCGUUAAGUCAGCGGUAAAAUUGCGGGGCUCAACCCCGUCGAGCCGUUGAAACUGGCAGACUUGAGUUGGCGAGAAGUACGCGGAAUGCGCGGUGUAGCGGUGAAAUGCAUAGAUAUCGCGCAGAACUCCGAUUGCGAAGGCAGCGUACCGGCGCCAGACUGACGCUGAGGCACGAAAGCGUGGGGAUCGAACAGGAUUAGAUACCCUCGUAU